UGACGACCGGGGUCUUCAGCAAAGCCAAGAAAUCAUCACGGUCGCCGUCACCAGCGCAAUACUCGAAGAGACUACGAAAGUCAUUGGGAAUACACCCAUAGCUGCAAAAAUCCGAGCGCAAGGGGGUGGAUUCCCUUCCUAACUCUCCGCCGCCGGCGACCAAGUCAGACUGUCAGAACUGAAAAGUUCAUUAGGUGCCGCGGGACGUCCGUGUGCUUGUCACUGGGGUUCAUUUACAGCAGAAAGCCAAAUCAAUUUCAGAGUGGUCAACAAAGGCCCAAAGAAAAUAUAGUCUCCCUCAAAACUGGCUCUACAUUCCAUCUCAAGCACUCUGGCUCUGUUCUCAUCAAAGCCCUUUUA
rnacentral:lncRNA from 1 species